AUUGAACGCUGGCGGCAUGCCUUACACAUGCAAGUCGAACGGUAACAGGUCUUCGGAUGCUGACGAGUGGCGAACGGGUGAGUAAUACAUCGGAACGUGCCUAGUAGUGGGGGAUAACUGCUCGAAAGAGCAGCUAAUACCGCAUACGACCUGAGGGUGAAAGGGGGGGAUCGCAAGACCUCUCGCUAUUGGAGCGGCCGAUAUCAGAUUAGCUAGUUGGUGGGGUAAGGGCCUACCAAGGCAACGAUCUGUAGUUGGUCUGAGAGGACGACCAGCCACACUGGGACUGAGACACGGCCCAGACUCCUACGGGAGGCAGCAGUGGGGAAUUUUGGACAAUGGGCGCAAGCCUGAUCCAGCAAUGCCGCGUGCAGGAAGAAGGCCUUCGGGUUGUAAACUGCUUUUGUCAGGGAAGAAAUCUUCUGGGCUAAUACCCCGGGAGGAUGACGGUACCUGAAGAAUAAGCACCGGCUAACUACGUGCCAGCCGCCGCCGUAA
rnacentral:rRNA from 1 species